rnacentral:misc_RNA from 1 species
CAGAGUUUUCUAAACUCCCAACCCUAUGUGAACUUACCUUUGUUGCCUCGGCGGGACCUACCCGGUACCUCUCUCUUGGGAGAGGCUACCCUGUAGCCCGCCGGUGGAUUUUCGAACUCUUGUAAUUUUAAUGAUAUCUGAGCGUCUUAUUUUAAUAAGUCA